GAUGAACGCUGUCUACAGGCUUAACACAUGCAAGUCGAGGGGAAACGCCGGGGAAGCUUGCUUCCCCGGGCGUCGACCGGCGCACGGGUGAGUAACGCGUAUCCAACCUGCCUCUGACUGAGGGAUAACCCGUCGAAAGUCGGCCUAAUACCCCAUGGCAUCGUCUGCGGGCAUCCAACGACGAUUAAAGAUUUCAUCGGUCAGGGAUGGGGAUGCGUCUGAUUAGCUUGUUGGCGGGGUAACGGCCCACCAAGGCUACGAUCAGUAGGGGUUCUGAGAGGAAGGCCCCCCACAUUGGAACGGAGACACGGUCCAAACUCCUACGGGAGGCAGCAGUGAGGAAUAGUGGUCAAUGGGCGGGAGCCUGAACCAGCCAAGUAGCGUGCAGGAUGACGGCCCUAUGGGUUGUAAACUGCUUUUAUGCGGGGAUAAAGUGAGGGACGUGUCCUUCAUUGCAGGUACCGCAUGAAUAAGGACCGGCUAAUUCCGUG
rnacentral:rRNA from 1 species